CGGAGCAGAGCACAGCUGAACAGGGGACAACUCAGUCCUUUCAUGAACAAAAUUCCAGGAAGUCCCUCCCAUCGCUUCCCUCUCACAUCCCCUGCCACGGAGUUAUAAGGCUAGUGAUGGGAAGAACAGGAUUGGGCCCCCACUCCUGUGCGACUCAGCAAAGGGAGCCCCCACCAUGCCAGGCUGGGGCACAUGCAGACAUCCAGAGCUGAAUGAACACAGAGACCGAACUUCCCUCUUAGCCAUGGCCAGCAGUGGAUGCAUUUGAGCCCCAGUGAAUGAAAUGGGCUGACUAGUGGCAUUCUUGAGCUGUGAGCUCACCUUUCAGCUGGAUUUCCUCUCAUUCCUGACUCUCUCUUUCCCUCUCCACUCCAGUGACUGCAUGUGAGCGUGCUCGAUUUUGCUCCUAUUUUUAGUGCCUGUGCCCCAUGCAUCGUUUCUGUAUUAGCCUCAAAACCAAAUGUCUGUGCUAAGCAGGAUCCCACAUGUACAAGUUCGGCAUGCAGGAUCCUGUGAGGAAGGAGCGGGGAAAGGAAACUCCAGCUCAGAGUGACCAGGGAGAGUGCAUUGCCUUGGCCUCCAGGAGAGGAGCUCUACAGGCUCUAGGGGAGCAGGAUGGACAAACCUCAGAGAGUUGCCCAAAGCCAUGGAGGACAUGAGCAUCAGUGGAAUUCAGAAGCUCCCAGCUGUCCUGUGCUCAGAUCACUAGACUGUGCUGAAUACAUCUGAUCAAUCUGGUUCUUAUAAAUCCAGGGCAUAGGGCAGACGCUCUGACAGGACACUACAAAUGUCUACUAGUCACAACCAUUAAUAUGAUGGCCCCUGAACUACUCUCAGAGGGGCAUGACACUGCUGCAAAUUAAGAGAGAGAAGAGGAGACUAGCGGGCUGCUGGCAGAUAUCUAGAAAUGAAUCUAGUCACCUGCAGCAUAAGUAGUUUCUAUACUAUUAUUUCAUAGCCAUGAUCAGUAAGAUGUUCUUCUCCUCUGCAAAUCCUAACCAAUGGAACUCCUCCACGUAGAAGUCUGCUGACUAGCUCAGAGUGCCUCCAGCUGGCUCUGGAGGUAACAGUUUCUAGCUGUGAGUAGUCUGCAAUCUUCACAGAGUAGGCUGAUUGAAUUUGGAGGGUGACAGAGUCAAAGUGGAAGUGCCACAGACUCUGGCUGCAUUUCAAACAAUGUCCCAGUCAGAUGUUGUGGUGCUGCAAGUGGUAUGUAAUCAGGCCCUGUGCUCAUCCUAUGUGGUGAAAGGCUGCAGGAAAUGUAUGGGUACUUUACUGAAAGUACUCAUUAAUGUCCCUCUCAGAGAAAGCAAGCUGCCAGCAACAUUCAAACAAGCUACAGUUUAGAUGUGCUCUAGAAAACAACUGUGAGCACACUAGUAUACUAAACGGCCGUCAUCCAGUCUCUGACCUCCCUUGCUGGGAAAAUUCAGAGAAGGUUGCCCUAGGCCAACUGAAACAAUAUUUGAAAACCCCAGGAUCCUUAGAGCCUAUCCAAUUCAGUUUAGGAGUGGGCCACAGCCCAGAAAUGGUGCUCAGAUUCCACCAUGAUGAGUGUGGUAUAAACAAACUCAUAGACAAAGUAGGGGAAAUUGCUGUGGUUGAUGAUCUCCUCAGGGCAGUGGUCAAAAGCCAGGUCUUUUAUGACAUGGCGUGAUUUUUUUCAGUGCUCUUGAAUCAUCGGGUAUUGCUAACAUGGCUGAAUGAUCUGGCAGGGUGGAAAGAGUACAUGCAGAGUGGUUCCACUCAAUGCUUUCCAAAGGAUCCCAGAGGGGAAGUGAUGGGUGACUGCUUCUCCUCUCUGAAGGCUCCCAACUAUGGGGACCCACAGGUUACAAACCUGUCACCUCUCCUUUCCAACAUCUACAUAAAGCUACUGAUUGGGACUGUGGGAAAGUGCUGGUGUCAGUGUCAUCCUAUGCUGGUGAUAAUUGUCACUUCUAGGUCUCCUUUUCAUGAUGAUCAUUGAUAGACUUACCCAAUGCCUGACAGAAACUAGGAUGUACAGAAAAGCCAGCUGGUUGCAGUUUAAACCAGACAAGAUACAGCUGAUGCUGAUCAGCAAGGGCAAGUAUUUAGAGGACCUACCAAAGCCUAUAGGUACUCCAACACCUGGGAUGGUCUGUGGUCCAACGCUAUUGCUAGAGCCUUCAUUGCUCUUAGCUUCUCCAUGAUUGCACUGGUCACCAGAACAGCAGUCUCACUGAGAGCCAGCAAAGACACUGUGCCCCCUCCUCUCAAAUGCAGAUCUCACCUCAAUCAUCCAUGCCACUGUGACCUCUCAGCUGAACUAUAACAACAGGCUUAAACACGAAAGUCCCUUGGAAACUUCAGCUCGUCCAGAGGGGCUCUCCCCCUCAUCUGAAGGAGGUAGGCUGAUGUGCGCUGGACUCGCUGCCAUUUGCUUACCAGAUGAAACAGAGAGAGCUCUACAUAGACUAGUUCAAGUUAACGGUGGCCUCUUCAUCUCCAGCUCCCCACGAGACACUGGAAUUCCCUGUCCCACUGGUGAUGCUUAGGGAAGCUGCCUCACCGUGUUCUCACUAGCAGGGCAUAGUACUGUGAGCCAGGAACCUGUAGGUGCCAACCGCUUCCUCUGCAGCCUCUCUGCCUCCUCCUCUCGUCUCUGUGCCCCAACUGGAAACUGUUAUAAUUAAGUGAUGGUUUCAGAGUAACAGCCGUGUUAGUCUGUAUUCGCAAAAAGAAAAGGAGUACUUGUGGCACCUUAGAGACUAACCAAUUUAUUUGAGCAUGAGCUUUUGUGAGAGCUGUAGCUCACGAAAGCUCAUGCUCAAAUAAAUUGGUUAGUCUCUAAGGUGCCACAAGUACUCCUUUUCUUUUUAUAAUUAAGUGAUGGUCUGCUCUACAACAGCUAGUCAAGUUGAGUUAUUUUCUGGACCCGGGGGGUGGAAGGGGAGUUCACCACAGGCUAAAGUUGAAAUAAACCAAGCUGAACUCACACCACGGCUGACUUUUUAGCCCAUAAAGAAAAGGAGGACUUGUGGCACCUUAGAGACUAACAAAUUUAUUUGAGCAUAAGCUUUCGUGAGCUACAGCUCACUUCAUCGGAUGCAUUCAUUCCUUUUCUUUUUGAGAAUACAGACUAACAGGGAUGCUACUCUGAAACCUGUUUUUAGCCCAUAGCGAGGGCUGCAUCCAGCCAUCCUUUGCCACAAUAAAUAACCCUUCUUUUCAA